AGGCCAUGAUAUGGACAUUACUAUAAUAAGAUCUUGAAUCUUCCCCAAGCUUCUAACAAUGACUCUUCAUCCCUUUGUGAAAAACCCAUAAUUUAAAUCCUGAGAUA